rnacentral:rRNA from 1 species
AUUGAACGCUGGCGGCAUGCCUUACACAUGCAAGUCGAACGGUAACGGGCCUUCGGGUGCCGACGAGUGGCGAACGGGUGAGUAAUGUAUCGGAACGUACCUUUCAGUGGGGGAUAACGUAGCGAAAGUUACGCUAAUACCGCAUAUUCUGUGAGCAGGAAAGCAGGGGAUCGCAAGACCUUGCGCUGAUUGAGCGGCCGAUAUAAGAUUAGCUAGUUGGUGAGGUAAAGGCUCACCAAGGCGACGAUCUGUAGCGGGUCUGAGAGGAUGAUCCGCCACACUGGAACUGAGACACGGUCCAGACUCCUACGGGAGGCAGCAGUGGGGAAUUUUGGACAAUGGGGGCAACCCUGAUCCAGCCAUGCCGCGUGAGUGAAGAAGGCCUUCGGGUUGUAAAGCUCUUUCGGCCGGGAAGAAAUCGUAUCAGCUAAUACCUGGUGCGGAUGACGGUACCGGCAUAAGAAGCACCGGCUAACUACGUGCCAGCCGCCGCGGUAAAAC